rnacentral:rRNA from 1 species
CGCGUAGGCGGCUUGGUAAGUAGGGGGUGAAAUCUCACGGCUCAACCGUGAGGCUGCCUUCUAGACUGCCGAGCUUGAGCACAGUAGAGGCUGGUGGAAUUCCCGGUGUAGCGGUGGAAUGCGUAGAGAUCGGGAAGAACAUCUGUGGCGAAGGCGGCCAGCUGGGCUGUUGCUGACGCUGAUGCGCGACAGCGUGGGGAGCAAACA